rnacentral:miRNA from 1 species
AUAUUUAUGCAUAUAUAUAUGUAUAUAUUUAUACAUAUAUAUAUGUAUAAAUAUAUAUAUAUAUAUGUACACACACACACACAUAUAUAUAUUAUAUAUAUAUAUA